AUGUUGCUCUCAGAUAAACAGUGCAGCAAUGGGUGCUGCAGAGGUAGCAGAGCCUCAUGGCAAGCAUCCAAACAGACCUGGGUUUGGGAUCCGGCUCCGACACUCAGUCCCUCCAGGCAGGAUGCCCCGGUGCCUCCUAUCUUCAUCUUCAGUUCCCUCAUUGAUACAACGGGGAUAAAGAAAGUAACUACCUCCUCAUGCCAGUGUGAGAAAGGAAUGACAACUUGUGUUGAGAAGAACUGAGAACAGUGUCUGGCAUGCAAGAAGUAUUCAAUUGAUGUUAGGCAUCGCCAUCAUUACAAGAGGAGCCAAUGACAUUUGUUGAGAACUGUUCAGGCUAGACUCUAUACUAGACACUUGAGAUACAAGACAGCAACACCAGAUGAGGCCUCUGGACCCAGAAUUUAAAGUCCAGAGGGAAGUAGAGACUUUCAUUAAAUAAUCAUGCACAUAGACAGGAAUUAUCACUGUGACGAUUACCUGAAAUGGAGGUGCAUUGUAUUAAGAGAGGAGAAGUGGGAGCCUUAACCUGGUUUAACAGACCAGGGAAGCCUUCCCUCAGGAGGAGAGAUUUCAUCUGAGAUCUCAGGGAUGAAUGAAAGUAAUUCAGGUUAGGGGGUUAGGGCAGGGAGGUCCCAGGCAGAGGACACUGCGCAUGUGGGAAAUGACCAGGGCCCAUUUAAGGAACUGAAAGAAGGCCCAGGUGGCCAGGGCAGGUGAGGGUGGAGGAGCAGAAGGAGGCCAAAUCCUAGGGAGACCACAAGCUCUGCUGAGCAGCAUUGUCUCCAUCCCAAAACUGAGGGGGAACUAGUGAUGAUUUGUAAGUCUGGGGAAGGAGGUGAUGAGCAUUCUGGAUGCAAUGUGUAGAAUGGAUUAGAAAGGAGCAGACACGGAUGGGGCAGGGACAGUCGGAAGUGCACUGCAUCAGACCAGGUAUGAACAAGAGCAGCUUUGUCUAAAGCACUAGAUGAUGGCAACGGGCACGGACACCCACUCCUGGAUUGUAGAGUUUUAGGAAAUACAAGCCACAGAACUUGGUGGUGAUGGGAACAGGGGAAGCAGAGUUUUCAAACCUGACCUCUUGAUUCCUGGUUCUGUUUCUGCAUGGACAUAGUGUCAAUGGAGGAGAAAGGACAUACUGAACUCAGGCCUGGUUGAAGAGCGCAGUCAUGGGUUCUGCUGGGGAAGCAGCAUCACACAUUAGCUCAUUGUUCUAGAGUGAAACUGCCUGGACUCCAAUCCCAUAUCCAUUCCUGACAGUCAAUGUGACUUGAAACUCUCUAAGCUUAAUUUCAUUAACAAUUCCCACCCACCAACCUCACAGAGUUGACAUGAAUAUCUGAGACCAUGGACACGAAGCCAUGAGCACAGGGCCUGGCACACAGUAAUAGCUCAACACAGGCCAUGACUUUGUGAGCUGCAUGGCAUAAGCAAUCAUUGGAGGAAUCAUCUCUCCCUCUCCAAGUUUCUUCAGGUUCAGGUAAUAGAAGUUUUGCCUUCUCAGGAAAAGUAUUAAGAAGCUGCUGUCUGUCCUUCACUUCCCACUGCUCUUCCCCCACAGGAAUAAGACUGAUUUCUCUAAUUAGAGAGAUGACAAAGGCCUGACAUGUCUGAGUCCUUGU
ensembl:lncRNA